rnacentral:tRNA from 1 species
CAGGUAUAGUGUAGUGGAAACACAUUAGCCUUCCAAGCUGAGGUCACGGGUUCGAGUCCCGUUACCUG